UUAACGCAAAUUCGUAUGGAGUUGGAACGUUUGUUUGCCGCUAGGGGCGCUGUUGCAAAUGCAAACAAAUUUGAGUUA
rnacentral:pre_miRNA from 1 species